CACACACAACUAAAACUCCACAAUCCUAUAAUUUGCCUUACAAUUUAUACAUGGAAAAGGGUGUUUCUGUGCUGCAGAGCUUGCUGGAAAAGUCAGUCUACAUGAAUUUUCCCUAGUUGAGAAGAGGAAUGGCCAAUAACUCCGAGACUGACAGCACCAGUACGUCCGCUCUUAUUUCAAGUCCCCUUGCCAUGACAGGUCUGCUCAAAGAAUGAUGGCAGAGUCCUUUCCUCAGGACAACAAUUCUGAUCAUGACAUCUCCUCUACACACCCUCUUCACACCUUCAGCCCACUUUGACAGCCCUUACUGAGCUGUUCUGCAAGUUCUCCAUC